rnacentral:rRNA from 1 species
AUUGAACGCUGGCGGCAUGCCUUACACAUGCAAGUCGAACGGCAGCACGGGUGCUUGCACCUGGUGGCGAGUGGCGAACGGGUGAGUAAUACAUCGGAACAUGUCCUGUAGUGGGGAUAGCCCGGCGAAAGCCGGAUUAAUACCUCAUACGAUCUACGGAUGAAAGCGGGGGACCUUCGGGCCUCGCGCUAUAGGGUUGGCCGAUGGCUGAUUAGCUAGUUGGUGGGGUAAAGGCCUACCAAGGCGACGAUCAGUAGCUGGUCUGAGAGGACGACCAGCCACACUGGGACUGAGACACGGCCCAGACUCCUACGGGAGGCAGCAGUGGGGAAUUUUGGACAAUGGGCGAAAGCCUGAUCCAGCAAUGCCGCGUGUGUGAAGAAGGCCUUCGGGUUGUAAAGCACUUUUGUCCGGAAGGAAAUCCUUGGCCCUAAUACGGUCGGGGGAUGACGGUACCGGAAGAAUAAGCACCGGCUAACUACGUG